rnacentral:rRNA from 1 species
UACCGAAUAAUCUCUUUUGCUUCAUGGUGAAAGACUGAAAGACGGUUUCGGCUGUCGCUAUAGGAUGGGCCCGCGGCGCAUUAGCUAGUUGGUGAGGUAACGGCUCACCAAGGCGACGAUGCGUAGCCGACCUGAGAGGGUGAUCGGCCACACUGGGACUGAGACACGGCCCAGACUCCUACGGGAGGCAGCAGUAGGGAAUCUUCCACAAUGGGCGAAAGCCUGAUGGAGCAACGCCGCGUGAGUGAAGAAGGUUUUCGGAUCGUAAAACUCUGUUGUAAGGGAAGAACAAGUACAGUAGUUACUGGCUGUACCUUGACGGUACCUUAUUAGAGAGCCGCGGCUAACUACGUGCCAGCAGCCGCGGUAAUACGUAGGUGGCAAGCGUUGUCCGGAAUUAUUGGGCGUAAAGCGCGCGCAGGCGGUCCUUUAAGUCUGAUGUGAAAGCCCACGGCUCAACCGUGGAGGGUCAUUGGAAACUGGGGGACUUGAGUGCAGAAGA